rnacentral:rRNA from 1 species
UACGGAGGGUGCAAGCGUUAUCCGGAUUUACUGGGUUUAAAGGGUGCGUAGGUGGGUCUGUAAGUCAGUGGUGAAAUCUCCGGGCUUAACUCGGAAACUGCCAUUGAUACUAUAGGUCUUGAAUCAUCUGGAGGUGAGCGGAAUAUGUCAUGUAGCGGUGAAAUGCUUAGAUAUGACAUAGAACACCGAUUGCGAAGGCAGCUCACUACGGAUGUAUUGACACUGAGGCACGAAAGCGUGGGGAUCAAACAGG